rnacentral:rRNA from 1 species
CCUACGGGAGACAGCAGUGAGGAAUAUUGGUCAAUGGGCGCGAGCCUGAACCAGCCAAGUAGCGUGAAGGAUGAAUGCCCUACGGGUUGUAAACUUCUUUUAUAAAGGAAUAAAGUGAGGCACGUGUGCCUUUUUGUAUGUACUUUAUGAAUAAGGAUCUGCUAACUCCGUGCCAGCAGCCGCGGUAAUACGGAGGAUCCGAGCGUUAUCCGGAUUUAUUGGGUUUAAAGGGAGCGUAGAUGGGUUGUUAAGUAAGCGGUGAAAGUCUGUGGCUCAACCAUAGAAUUGCCGUUGAAACUGGGAGGCUUGAGUAUGUUUGAGGCAGGCGGAAUGCGUGGUGUAGCGGUGAAAUGCUUAGAUCUCACGCAGAACCCCGAUUGCGAAGGCAGCCUGCCAAGCCAUGACUGACGCUGAUGCACGAAAGCGUGGGGAUCAAACAGGAUUAGAUACCCCAGUAGUC